CCAAACUUGGUCAUUUAGAGGAAGUAAAAGUCGUAACAAGGUCUCCGUUGGUGAACCAGCGGAGGGAUCAUUACAAGAGUUUUACAACUCCCAAACCACUGUGAACCACUCAUAUCAUGUUGCUUCGGCCGGCGGCUCCAGGGGGAGCCUGUGGCCUCCCGAUGGGGGAGGUGCCAGCCGGAGCACCCCCAAACCUCUAUUGUCUUCUGUGGGCUUAUUCUGAGAAAAAUUCAUAAAUUGUCAAAACUUUCAACAACGGAUCUCUUGGUUCUGGCAUCAAUGAAGAACGCAGC
rnacentral:misc_RNA from 1 species